rnacentral:tRNA from 1 species
GCCGGUGUGGUGGAACGGCAGACACGGAGCACUCAAAAUGCUCUGCCCGCAAGGGCGUGCGGGUUCGAAUCCCGCCGCCGGCA